UUUCCACCCACACUACACACGAUCCUUUGCCCCCACCAAAAUAAGCUUUAGCCAUGCCUAUUUCUCCAACAAAAUACCCAUUUCCUUCCACUUACCAUUUCUCCUACAUACCAAGGAACUAAGUGCGGAGCUACACCCACAGAAGUUCAGCUAUACCACACGGACUCCACAAACUCAGCUGAAAGCUCUAAAGAUUUCAUCUACAAAUCACUCUGUCCAUUUUACCUCCAUUCACGGCUUUGUGACCAGGGGGAUUAGCGCUGCUUUCCCAAGACAGGUUUAUAAGUGAUUAUGAUCUUCAGGCUUUGCCUAACCAGGUUGGCUGGCUGGUGCUGACGGGACGGAGCUGAGGCUAGAGUUAAAAUUCAUAUGUUAGACUUCCGCUGUAGCAAUUACUCUUAUACAUCUUUUGUUUUCUCAACUUAAGAUGACUUCAUUUGAGCUUCAAUUUAAAAUUUAUAGUUUUAUGUUAAUGAACGUCGGUUGUCAGAAGCAUGAAACAAAACUUGUGAUCCAAAGGGGCAUAGCCCGACUUUCUAUCCUAUUUCGGGUUUUUACAAGGU